GCUGCAAUGUUGAAAGAGAUGCGCAUCGCAGGUUACGAACCAUUCUUGCGAAAGGUUGUGCUGUUCGUGCAGCGGAAUAGGUUGUGUAGGACGUUCAGUAGGGAAAGCUAAUUGAAAGGCAAAAUAUCCAAUGACACUAGCAAUAGCUACGAUUGAUACCACUGUCAUUACAAACUAACAUAACAAAAUGAAAAGUCAGAAGACCAUCCAACCUAGACAUAUCAACAAAUGAAUAUUACACAAAAACUGAACAAUUGCAUAGAAAAUGAAUUACCAGAAACCCUGCGAGGAGAGAAUGGUAUAGCAAGGAUAUAGCGUUGGUAAUGAAAGAUACAAUGGUUCUGCACCCAUAUAUGUAUAGCCUAACGAAACCUCUUAGCAAAUGCCACAUACCACACUUAAGUGGCAAGUGACACCAAUUCCGCCUCCAAGAAUCUAGUACAACACACAAACCCCACUUAGGAAACUUAAUAAGACCUUAUUAUAUAGGUGCAGAACCAUUGUAUCUUUCAUUCCCAACACGUAUAUCCUUGCUAUACCAUUCUCUCCCUGCAGGAUUUCUGGUAAUUCAUUUUCUAUGCAAUUGUUUAGUUAUUGUAUAAUAUUCAUUUGUUGAUAUGUCUAGGUUGGAUGGUCUUUUGACUUUUCAUUUUGUUAUGUUAGUUUGUAAUGACAGUGGUAUCAAUCGUAGCUGUUGCUAGUGUCAUUGGAUAUUUUACCUUUCAAUUAGUUUUCCUUGUUGAAUGUCCUACACAACCUAUUCCGCUGCACGAAUAGCAUGACCUUCCGCAAGAAUGGUUUGUAACCGUGACGCGCAUCUUGUUCAACAUUACAGCUUGCUCUGAGGUUCCUACAGAACAUGCUAGGUCACUGGCGAAUUACAGGUGCAAUUGUGAUUACUGGAGCUGCAUAGUGUUAUUGCUAGAGUUGCAGGUGUUGUUCCAAAUAUAGCUAUCAAAGUUUCUCCCCUAGACUUCCUUAUGGCCCAAGGUCAUCGUAUUCCGACGUAUGUCUAUGUUGUUAUUGAAGCCAUCCAACUCGGCGCUAUACCAUACGAAGAUGUAUGGAAUUACGUGUCAGACACUGCCAAUCGCUUUAAGACUAUGACCCACAGUGUAAUAGAGAAGGAUCUGGCCUCAGUCGAGCCCUUGAAUAAUGGUUGACACCAGAUGAUUUGAUGCUUUUAUGUUUGUAUCUAGAAUCUCGAAACUGAGUUUUUGAUAGUUUACUUAGUUUAGAAACUCAAUUCUUUAAUGUGUUUAGAAACUCAGUUUAGAAACCCAAGGCAUUGAUUUAUUUAGAAACUGAGUUUUUGAUAUGUUUACUUAGUUUAGAAACUCAGCUCUCCACCGCGGACCACUAUUCCCACAAGGCAUUCCAUCAAACUACUUCUCUUUCUACCCCACAAACCCCUAAGCAACCUCCUGACUUUGGUUUCUUCCCCGGCUUUUGCAACUUAGAGAGCCACUUAUUUUUUCCAAUGUUUCUCUUUAGCCCCAAGUCUUCAAAGAUGUUUCCGGGCAAUGGAGAGCUAGAGUCCAUUGUGAUACUGAUAUCCAUCGUGGCAUGAGACAGAGAUGUGGAAAGAUCUACAAAGAUCCCGAGCCCACUUGGGCUAUCAGGUUGGCCCCCAAUUAAUAAUCUAUCCCCAUCUUGGGACUAUCAUGUAUUAUGGGCAUAUUCAAAUUACUACUCCCGUCCGAACUCUUAUAUGAUCACCCUUCUCCAUUUUGCUUGGUGUCAGGGAUCUAGAUGGAAAUUACGGUUGUCCUCGUAGCCCUUUCUUUCCACCAAGAAUUUCUGUUCCUUUACGUGCCAACUUGCCGACGUCCCAUCUUAUAUAUGUCUUAUCUCUUUUAUGUUGAUUUUAGAUUUAUAUCAGCUUUUUACAUUUUUUGUUAUAUUUAUUUGUUUUUACAUACUUUUAUUUAUUUUAACAUAGAACUCGUUAAACUCCCGGUCGAUCUGUAUUUCAAAUCGGCAUGGAGUCGAACAGGCUCUGGGCCGUAAAACUAUCCGGAUCGGGACAGAUCAGUCGGAUCGUGUGGGAUUCUUAAUCUACUCCGAUCAGCUUGUAAAAUUCCUUAUAAAUAUAGAUGCAUAAUAACAAUUUCAGUAUCUUGCAAGAACCGUAACAAACCUAUCUCGCGCAUUUGCUCUCAAGAACCCAAUGAACCGAUCUCGCGCUUCCGAUCUCCUGCAAUUGACAAGGUGUCUGCAAUUGUCGUUGCUUUUUUGAGUUGGCUGACAUCUGCUGUUGAUGCGAUCAAUUUCGAUCCACUAAGGCAUAAGUAACAUUACCUUUCCUUGCCAAAUUGAAUUAUUUUCGAACAAUUUCUUGUUUUUGAUUAGGGUUUAAUUUUGGAUUUGUGUUUUGUUGGGUGUUUGUUCCUAAAAUUGGAUCUUUCUUUAAUUCUUUCUUUUAAUGUGAUAUCUGCGUAUCUUUUUCAACCCUAUCAGAUUUAACUUAAUAUUUAAUUUAGAAUUGUUAUCUCAUUGAAACAGUUGUUUUCAGGUAAAAAAAUUGGACUUAAUAGUUGAUUUUUUUUUUUUUUUUUGUUCAUUUAGAUGUUUUGAUCUAUUUUCUUUCAUAGUUCAAAAUCUUCAGUCAUUUCCUUAACGGUUCUUCGAUUUGCUUUUUAAAUGUUUGAUAACUGCAUGUUUUUUUUUAUCAGAUUGAUAUCUUCAGAAUCUUUGAUUGAAUUGUUUAGACUUGUUUUAACUUCAUAUCUAAGUUGUGAUAAGUCUCUAUUUAUUAGGGUUUAGUUGUGUUUCCCCUAUUAGGUUUAACUAGCAAUGGUGCCCGCGUGAUGCUGCGGGUUUUAAAACCAUAUUAAACAUGGAGAGAGUUCUAAAUACCUAUGAUAUACAACACUAUUUGCAUUCAUGUGGAAAUCUAUUUACAACGAUAUGUUCAACAACUAACAUAUAUGUGCCUAUAUUGUAGUCAUUGGUUUCUGGUGCGAAGUUCACGGAUUUGCAGAACCAGAAGGGAAGAAUUGCUGUACAAAGUUAAAUCAAUGGUAUAUACUACUACAACUAUUAAAAUUAAAACAAAAUUCAAGUUUUUGUAUUGAAAUUUAAUUGGGUUUAUGCGAUAAUUAAUCGCUCAAACAAAUAAAAUUGAUAAAAUGAAUUGAUGAUGGUACCUCAAAUUGUCCAGAAUUGCUAACGGAGGGGAUGAGCUUUGCAAUGUGAAGGGAUACAUCAUUGUCAUUGUUAAUUAAGUAUAUAGUAACUUCUAUAGAAACUUCAAUUACAUCUUCAUGUUCCA